rfam:Ciona savignyi cont_45937, whole genome shotgun sequence.
CUCGCGGGAGGCGUGCAUUUAUCAGACCAAAAACCGGCCGCGUCUUCGGGCGCGUUCGCCUUGGUGACUCUGGAUAACUUUGCGGAUCGCACGGUCUAGCACCGGCGACGGAUCAUUCAAGUGUCUGCCCUAUCAACUUUCGUCGGUACGGUAUUUGCCUACCGAGGUUCUUACGGGUGACGGGGAAUCAGGGUUCGAUUCCGGAGAGGGAGCCUGAGAAACGGCUACCACAUCCAAGGAAGGCAGCAGGCGCGCAAAUUACCCAUUCCCGACGCGGGGAGGUAGUGACGAAAAAUAACAAUGCAGGACUCGUUCGAGGCCCUGUAAUUGGAAUGAGUACACUUUAAAAGCUUUAACGAGUAUCCAUUGGAGGGCAAGUCUGGUGCCAGCAGCCGCGGUAAUUCCAGCUCCAAAAGUAUAUAUUUAAGUUGUUGCGGUUAAAAAGCUCGUAGUUGGAUUUUGGGCGCAGGCGGCCGGUCCGUCGCAAGGCGUGUACUGGACGUCCUGGCCUUCCCUCCGGUUCUCCGCCGGUGCUCUUGACUGAGUGUCGGCGGCGGCCGGAACGUUUACUUUGAAAAAAUUAGAGUGUUCAAAGCAGGCUCUCGAGCCUGGAUAAUGGUGCAUGGAAUAAUGGACUACGACCUCGGUUCUAUUUUGUUGGUUUUCGGAGCGCGAGGUAAUGAUUAAGAGGGACAGACGGGGGCAUUCGUACUGUGCCGUUAGAGGUGAAAUUCUUGGAUCGGCGCAAGACGAACGACUGCGAAAGCAUUUGCCAAGAAUGUUUUCUUUAAUCAAGAGCGAAAGUCAGAGGUUCGAAGACGAUCAGAUACCGUCCUAGUUCUGACUAUAAACGAUGCCAACUAGCGAUCGGGGGGCGUUACAUUGACGACCCCUCCGGCAGCUUACGGGAAACCAAAGUCUUUGGGUUCCGGGGGAAGUAUGGUUGCAAAGCUGAAACUUAAAGGAAUUGACGGAAGGGCACCACCAGGAGUGGAGCCUGCGGCUUAAUUUGACUCAACACGGGAAAUCUCACCCGGCCCGGACACAGUGAGGAUUGACAGAUUGAGAGCUCUUUCUUGAUUCUGUGGGUGGUGGUGCAUGGCCGUUCUUAGUUGGUGGAGCGAUUUGUCUGGUUAAUUCCGAUAACGAACGAGACUCUGGCUUGCUAAAUAGUUACCCGACCAUCCCGGUCGGCGUUUAACUUCUUAGAGGGACAA